rnacentral:rRNA from 1 species
AAAUUGAAGAGUUUGAUCAUGGCUCAGAUUGAACGCUGGCGGCAGGCCUAACACAUGCAAGUCGAGCGGUAGCACAGAGAGCUUGCUCUCGGGUGACGAGCGGCGGACGGGUGAGUAAUGUCUGGGAAACUGCCUGAUGGAGGGGGAUAACUACUGGAAACGGUAGCUAAUACCGCAUAACGUCGCAAGACCAAAGUGGGGGACCUUCGGGCCUCAUGCCAUCAGAUGUGCCCAGAUGGGAUUAGCUAGUAGGUGGGGUAACGGCUCACCUAGGCGACGAUCCCUAGCUGGUCUGAGAGGAUGACCAGCCACACUGGAACUGAGACACGGUCCAGACUCCUACGGGAGGCAGCAGUGGGGAAUAUUGCACAAUGGGCGCAAGCCUGAUGCAGCCAUGCCGCGUGUGUGAAGAAGGCCUUCGGGUUGUAAAGCACUUUCAGCGGGGAGGAAGGCGUUAAGGUUAAUAACCUUGGCGAUUGACGUUACCCGCAGAAGAAGCACCGGCUAACUCCGUGCCAGCAGCCGCGGUAAUACGGAGGGUGCAAGCGUUAAUCGGAAUUACUGGGCGUAAAGCGCACGCAGGCGGUCUGUCAAGUCGGAUGUGAAAUCCCCGGGCUUAACCUGGGAACUGCAUUCGAAACUGGCAGGCUAGAGUCUUGUAGAGGGGGGUAGAAUUCCAGGUGUAGCGGUGAAAUGCGUAGAGAUCUGGAGGAAUACCGGUGGCGAAGGCGGCCCCCUGGACAAAGACUGACGCUCAGGUGCGAAAGCGUGGGGAGCAAACAGGAUUAGAUACCCUGGUAGUCCACGCCGUAAACGAUGUCGAUUUGGAGGUUGUGCCCUUGAGGCGUGGCUUCCGGAGCUAACGCGUUAAAUCGACCGCCUGGGGAGUACGGCCGCAAGGUUAAAACUCAAAUGAAUUGACGGGGGCCCGCACAAGCGGUGGAGCAUGUGGUUUAAUUCGAUGCAACGCGAAGAACCUUACCUGGUCUUGACAUCCACAGAACUUAGCAGAGAUGCUUUGGUGCCUUCGGGAACUGUGAGACAGGUGCUGCAUGGCUGUCGUCAGCUCGUGUUGUGAAAUGUUGGGUUAAGUCCCGCAACGAGCGCAACCCUUAUCCUUUGUUGCCAGCGGUUAGGCCGGGAACUCAAAGGAGACUGCCAGUGAUAAACUGGAGGAAGGUGGGGAUGACGUCAAGUCAUCAUGGCCCUUACGACCAGGGCUACACACGUGCUACAAUGGCAUAUACAAAGAGAAGCGACCUCGCGAGAGCAAGCGGACCUCAUAAAGUAUGUCGUAGUCCGGAUUGGAGUCUGCAACUCGACUCCAUGAAGUCGGAAUCGCUAGUAAUCGUAGAUCAGAAUGCUACGGUGAAUACGUUCCCGGGCCUUGUACACACCGCCCGUCACACCAUGGGAGUGGGUUGCAAAAGAAGUAGGUAGCUUAACCUUCGGGAGGGCGCUUACCACUUUGUGAUUCAUGACUGGGGUGAAGUCGUAACAAGGUAACCGUAGGGGAACCUGCGGUUGGAUCACCUCCUUACCUUAAAGAA